UGGUGGAUUGAUUUGUCUGGUUGAUUCCGACAACGAACGAGACCUUCGCCUGCUUAUUAGACUAGCUUUCUACGGAUUGCAUGUCUUCUUAGCGGGACUUUAUUGCGUCACAGCAUAAUGAAGCGAAGGCAAUAACA
rnacentral:rRNA from 1 species